CCUACGGGAGGCAGCAGUCGAGAAUCAUUCACAAUGGGGGAAACCCUGAUGCUGCGACGCCGCGUGGGGGAAUGAAGGUCUUCGGAUUGUAACCCCCUGUCAUGUGGGAGCAAGUUCAAAAGAUAGUACCACAAGAGGAAGAGACGGCUAACCCUGUGCCAGCGGCCGCGGUAAUACAGAGGUCUCAAGCGUUGUUCGAAAUCACGGGGCGUAAAGCGUGCGUAGGCUGUUUCGUAGGUCGUGUGUGAAAGGCGCGGGCUUAACCCGCGGACUGCACAUGGUACUGCGAGACUAGAGUAAUGGAGGGGGAACCGGAAUUCUCGGUGUAGCAGUGAAAUGUGUAGAUAUCGAGAGGAACACUAGUGGCGAAGGCGGGUUCCUGGACAUUAACUGACGCUGAGGCACGAAGGCCAGGGGAGCGAAAGGGAUUAGAUACCCUAGUAGUC
rnacentral:rRNA from 1 species